rnacentral:rRNA from 1 species
UUCUGGCUCAGGAUGAACGCUAGCGAUAGGCCUAACACAUGCAAGUCGAGGGGCAUCACAUGAGGUAGCAAUACUGAUGGUGGCGACCGGCGCACGGGUGAGUAACACGUAUGCAACCUGCCUUCAACAAGGGCAUAACCCGUUGAAAGACGGACUAAUUCCCUAUGACACAGGGGUCCCGCAUGGGGAUAUUUGUUAAAGAUUAAUCGGUUGGAGAUGGGCAUGCGUUCCAUUAGCUUGUUGGCGGGUAACGGCCACCAAGGCAACGAUGGAUAGGGGAACUGAGAGGUUUAUCCCCCACACUGGUACUGAGACACGGACCAGACUCCUACGGGAGGCAGCAGUGAGGAAUAUUGGUCAAUGGGCGCAAGCCUGAACCAGCCACGUCGCCGUGAAGGAAGACGGCCCUACGGGUUGUAAACUUCUUUUGCAAGGGAAUAAAGUUGGCCACGCGUCGGCCUUUUCGCAUGUACCUUGCGAAUAAGGAUCGGCUAACUCCGUGCCAGCAGCUGC